UAUUGAUUGGAGGAGGUUCUUAGGUUUAUUGAUGUGGUACAAACUGCCGCCUGACACAUCAUUGCCCAUUGCUUUUCAGACAUAUAAGCAUUUUCUUGAUGAGGGAAGGGCUCCAUAUCCUGUUCCACUUUUUAUUGAUGAAGGACCAUCAGAAGAGGCUAUCAGCUGGAAUGCAGAUAAACACUUUGACAUUUCAUUCUAUCUUAGGCUUCUUCAUUAUAGUGAAGAGAGAGAAUUUAGCUUUUUGAAGGCUAUGUUUAGUGCAUUCUCUUCAACCCCUGAUCCACUUGAUUAUCACAUGAUAUGGCAUCAACGAGCAGUCUUGGAAGCAGUGGGUGUUAUCAAAUCUAAUGAUCUUCAUGUUCUAGACAUGUGAUUCGUGUCUCAGCUUUUGAGCCUAGGAAAAUGCCAUUGGGCCAUAUAUGUUGUCCUUCAUUUACCCUUUCGAGAAGACUGUCAAUUUCUUCAUGUGAAUUUGAUUCGGGAGAUAUUGUUUCAGUACUGCGAAAUUUGGAGUUCAGAUGAAUCUCAGCAACAGUUCAUUCAGGAUUUAGGCAUUCCUUCAGAAUGGAUUCAUGAGGCUCUGGCAAUUUAUCAUAAUUAUAAUGGUGAUCUGCCAAAAGCUCUUGAGCACUUUCUUCAGUGUGCAAAUUGGCAGAAAGCUCAUACCAUUUUCGUAACAUCAGUUGCUCAUAGUUUAUUCUUGCAAGCCAAUCACUGAGAGAUAUGGAGGAUUGCAACUUCCAUGGAGGACCACAAAUCUAAAAUUGAGAAUUGGGAGUUGGGAAGUGGAAUAUAUAUUUCAUAUUAUUUGAUGAGAAACUCACUUCAGGGAGACACCGAUGCGAUGACUCAAUUGAUUCUCUUCAAAGUAAAAAUGCUGCCUAUCAGGAAUUUGUCAGUCAGCUUAAUGCAUCAUUGGCUGUUUGGGACCGCAAAUUACCUGUUGAUGCAAGAUUGGUGUAUUCAAAAAUGGGGAGUGAGAUAUGUGAUUUGCUGCUAUCUGCUGUGGCGAGGGUGCUAGCCGAGAUGAACAGUUUAGCUGCUUUGACACUGCUUUCAGUGCACCAGUUCCAGAAGAUGUUCGCUCUGGUCAUCACUUGCAGGACGCAGUGUAUCUGUUUACCAGCUUUCUCUCUGAGAUUGCUACUUAAUUCCACAGUUUGCCUAUUGCUUGUGAUUUUUGAAAUCAGAAAAGAAAUGCGUGUUACAGGGGAGGGAUUUUGAUCUGCAAUUAAGCCAUGACCAUGAAUUUUUUGUGCCUUUUUGUGUUAAUUGGUCUUGCAGGAUUUAUGAAAUGAUGCUAAAUGUGAUUAUAAUAUCAUAUUCAUCCAUUUUUUUUGGGAACCUGUAGCUGUAACUUCCAAAUUUCAUUUUGCAUGUGCUAGAUGUAGAAUUAUUGAACUUUAUC